UUAAAGGAAUUGACGGGGCCCGCACAAGCAGCGGAGCGUGUGGUUUAAUUCGAUGUUACGCGAAAACCUUACCCGGGCUUGACAUGCAGGUAGUAGGGAACCGAGAGGGGGCCGACUCUUCGGAGAGCCUGCACAGGUGCUGCAUGGCUGUCGUCAGCUCGUGCCGUGAGGUGUCCGGUUAAGUCCGGUAACGAGCGCAACCCUCGCCAUAUGUUACAAGUGUCAUAUGGGACUGCCGAUAUAAAGUCGGAGGAAGUGGGGAUGACGUCAAGUCAGCAUGGCCUUUAUGUCCGGGGCUACACACACGCUACAAUGGCCGGUACAAUAGGUAGCAAGACCGCGAGGUGGAGCCAAUCCUUAAAGCCGGUCUCAGUUCAGAUUGCAGGCUGCAACCCGCCUGCAUGAAGUCGGAGUUGCUAGUAACCGCGCGUCAGCAAUAGUGCGGUGAAUACGUUCCCGGGCCUU
rnacentral:rRNA from 1 species